rnacentral:rRNA from 1 species
UUUUGCCUUCGGGUACAAUUGAGACAGGUGGUGCAUGGUUGUCGUCAGCUCGUGUCGUGAGAUGUUGGGUUAAGUCCCGCAACGAGCGCAACCCUUGUGUUUAGUUGCAAACAGGUCAAGCUGUGCACUCUAGACAGACUGCCGUGGACAACACGGAGGAAGGUGGGGAUGACGUCAAAUCAUCAUGCCCCUUAUGAUCUGGGCUACACACGUGCUACAAUGGCCGGUACAACGGGCAGCGAAGGAGCGAUCCGGAGCGAAUCCUAAAAAGCCGGUCCCAGUUCGGAUUGCAGGCUGAAACUCGCCUACAUGAAGUUGGAGUUGCUAGUAAUCGCGAAUCAGAAUGUCGCGGUGAAUGCGUUCCCGGGUCUU